UACGAAGGGGCUAGCGUUGCUCGGAAUCACUGGGCGUAAAGGGUGCGUAGGCGGGUCUUUAAGUCAGGGGUGAAAUCCUGGAGCUCAACUCCAGAACUGCCUUUGAUACUGAGGAUCUUGAGUUCGGGAGAGGUGAGUGGAACUGCGAGUGUAGAGGUGAAAUUCGUAGAUAUUCGCAAGAACACCAGUGGCGAAGGCGGCUCACUGGCCCGAUACUGACGCUGAGGCACGAAAGCGUGGGAGCAAACAGGG
rnacentral:rRNA from 1 species